UACAAAGAGAGUUCUAGAAAGAGAAAAACGUUUUAGAGAGAGAAAGCUUCGAGAGAUCAACCGGAAAGGCACUUGAACGGUGGCUUGUGGUUGAUUUCCGUUUGUGACUUCAACCCCGAUCUCUGCGUCAAUUCCCAGUCGAUUCCGUGCCAAAUACGUCAGUAAACCGGCAAAGGUAUGUGUUCCGGUUUAACGCUUCCGCAUAAAAGAAUAACACCAAAUCCACGCGCCUCCCGGUCAGCUACCUCACCCUCAUGGCAGGAAGAGAGCCGUCAUCUAUGGUAUCGUUUCUCUCGCCACGAGCUCAAAGGCUGCAUCAACGACGCCAAGUGCAUGCGUCACCUUCUCAUCAACAAAUUCAAGUUCUCCCCAGAUUCAAUUCUCAUCUAUUCAACCAAUCUCUCUCUCUCUCUCUCUCUCUCUCUCUCUCUCUCUCUCUCUCUCUCUCUCUCUCUCUCUCUCUCUCUCUCUCUCUCUCUCUAUCUCUCUCUCACUAUCUCUCACUAACUGUCUCUCUCUCAAAGUGAAUUAUUUAUAGAUAUAUGUUAUUCGUGAUCUCUCUCGUUUAUACAUGUAAUAAGCACAUAUAAAACAUAUUUUGCUAUUGUUUAUUUCUCUAAUCUGNNNNNNNNNNNNNNNNNNNNNNNNNNNNNNNNNNNNNNNNNNNNNNNNNNNNNNNNNNNNNNNNNNNNNNNNNNNNNNNNNNNNNNNNNNNNNNNNNNNNAGGUAUUUUAAAGGUUUUACGGAGUAUUUACAAGUGUUUUGUAAGGUUUUACAAUGUAUUUUAAAAGGUUUUACAAGGUACUUAUAAGGUUUUAUAAGGUAUUUAUAACUUGUAAAACCUUAUAAAAAACUUGUAAAACCUUAUAACUUGUAAAAUCUUAUAAAAUAGCUUGUAAAAUCUUAUAAUAUCUUAUAAAUACUUUAUAAAUACGUUGUAAAACCUUUUAAAAUACAUUGUAAAACCUUAUAAAUACCCUGUAAAAACCCUUUAAAAUACCUUGUAAAUUUUUCCCGCCAAAAAAUUUGCGGAAUCACUUUUCCUGCAAAAAAAAAUUUUUGGCGGGAAAAAAUUUUACGGGAAAAUUUUACAAGGUAUUUUAAAGGUUUUACAAAUUUUUACAAGUGUUUUGGCGGGAAAAAUUGGGGGAUCACUUUUCCCGCCAAAAAAUAUUUUGUAUUUUGUGGACCUAAUUUUGUUAUAUUUAUGAUAUCUUUUAUUAAAAGAAGGGUAAUUUAGUCAUUUUGUACAUAAAAGGGGUAUUUUUAAAAAUGGACAUCCAAAGGGGGCAUUUUUGAAAAGGGGUAUUGAAAAAGGGGCAUUUUUGUGAGUCUCCCAUAAAAAAAUAUCGUCAAAUAAUUAUGAAUAUUAAUAUAAUAACUAAGAAAAAUAUCUAAAUAACAUAGAUAAAAUUAUCUAAUAGUCUAAUUAACUCUUAUACUAUAAAUAAAUACUAUAAUUCAUAUUAUUAUAAAAAAUAUAUUGUUAGCAAAAUUAAGUUGUUCUUCCAAAUUUAAUUUUUUGAACUAUGUAAUUAAUUAAUAAAAAGCUUUGUCAAAGUUUUAUUGAAAAUUUAAUUGAAAAAUAAACAUGAUAAUAUAGUAUAGAUUAUCUAACUGAUUGUUAAUUGUUCUCUAGUAGUUUAAAAUUAUUAAUAUGAUUAGGAUGAUUAAGAUUUUUUAAAAAUUUUGAUAUUUUAAAUAUUUAUUUUAGCAUAAGUAUGAGUUUUUUUUGCGAAAUUUUGAAAAAAUAUAUUUAAUUAUCUAAAAGUUAUUUAAAUUAUCUAAAAUUAUCUACAGUUAUCCAAACAUAAAUUCGUCUCUUGUCUAUUCUGAUAAUGAUUUUAUGUAUCUGAAUUAUUCAUAUAUCGUAUUUGUAUGAUCUGACUUAUUUUAAAAUAUAAAUUUGAUGUGUAAUUUUUGAUAUUCAAAAUAUUUUAAUUCGAGUUGUGUAAUCGCUAUAAUCCGAAUAUUUACCUGAAAUAAACAUACUACGUAUCUUUUGGUGUUGGAAGAACUGUUGAAUGUAGCUGAAUUUAGUUUUAUGCAAAUGGUAACUGCGGAAUUGCUGAAUCUGGCUGAAUUCAGCUGAAUAUUUUUUCUAUGUUACCAUUUACACUCAAAAUGUAUAAUAUUAGAUGUAGAUUAGGAAGUUAUAUUACUUAUAUUAGACCGAUACAUUACAUAUAUAUAUUAUAUAGGAAGUUAUAUUAGGAAUGUAUAGGAAUACAUUACCCUAGAUCUUCCUAAUUUACUUGAUUUUUAAUAUAUAGGUAAUGUAUUAAAAAUAUAAGUAAUAUAACUUCCUCAUCUACAUCCAUUUAGGUAAUGUACACCCUACAUCUAAUAUUAGACAAAAUAUAACAUCUAAUUUACUUGAUUUUUCUUGGGGAUGUGCUUUUAGUCAAGUGGUUAAGUCCAUUUGACUCCGCCUUCUCCACCGGAGUUCGACUCCAAUAAGUCGCGUUACCCCGCGUAGUAGGGAUUGGCUAUGGAUCGGGCCUUGUCGAUCCAAAGAUGUCAAAAAAAAAAAAAAAAAAAAAAUUACUUGAUUUUUCUCUUGAGAAGUUUUUUUUUUUGGGAUUAAGUGUUUAAAAAUCAAGUAAAUUAGGAAGAUGUAAGGUGUACAUUACCUAAAUGGAUAACAUAAUUAGCGUAAAAAAUAUAUAUAUCUGAAAACAAAUUCUGGUGAGUUCCUCUACUUUGAAGUUUGUUUGAACCAAACAGAGUAACAGAAAGAAAAAAAAUUAACUCAAUUACGAUGGAAAAAUAAAACAAAAACACCAAAAUAGAGUAAAAUUUUCAUCUAUUUUAAAGAAGUGGAAAUACCACUUUCAAAUUUUUUAUUCUUCUAUUUUCAGCUAUUGUAUUUCCACAUUUUUACUUUGUUUACACAUUAAUCAGAACCGUAGUGUUCUUAUUUAACUCGAGUCCAAUGCCAUAUAAUUUAAACUAGUUUAAUUUUUCUCUGAGAAGUUUUUCAAAUCGUAUACAGUUCCUCAACCCUGGGAUUGCAAAUACACUCCUCUUUUAGUAGUUAGUGCUCGAACUCGGGACAUAUCCCGACUCUUCCAAAGCAUGACUCCUGGUUUUAAAGCAUGCUUUGAUGUCUCAUGUCUGUAUACACUUAUCAGAUUUAUUUAUAAUCCAAUAGUUUUUAUAAGAAAAUUGAUGAUGAAAAAGAUAGCUACAAACACCCUCGUACAUGCACACCUUCUCUGUCUUUUCUAUCCUCUCGUUACCUCAAAAAAGGGGAACAAAAAUAGUGAUUUUGGGGCCGCCAUUUAAUUAUUGAUGCUUAUUUGUUACAUAUUUUUUUUUUUUUUUUUUUUGAAUAACCGCGAGUCUCCCAAAGGCUUCCUAGGCCCAAAGACUAAUCUCACGAGGCUGGCAAUUCCCCUAUGUAAACCUGCCAGUGGCCGUGCCUCGAACCCUGGUGGCGGAAGUCACAGCUGUGACCCCUUUACCACUAGGCCACAAGGCCCGGUUUAUUUGUUACAUAUUAGGCAAAGGUCACCUUUGUUAUUAUUGUUAUAGCAAACCAAACUAACAUUGAGCGACUCAUUUAUCUCUCAUAUAGUCAUAUUAUAUAGAGAUAAUUGGGUGAGAGACAUAGGAUCGGGGUGAAAUAAAAUUUUCGGUAUAAUCUUGUCGGGCCUAAAACAUUGUAAAUAUUUAGCCCACUUUUUAGCCUCUUAUACCCUCACGCGCUCCUUCAUGGUCGUCCAAAACUUAGCCCAAUACUUGAGACAUUGGAACUGAUUUUGCAGUUCUCGAGGCCAUAAAGGGUGGCGUCUGACGCUACGUUUCUAGUUCAUCCUCUCUCUUCUUCUCAUCCCGCCAUUUCACUCAGAAAACCCUAAAACUCUCUCUCUCUCUUCAGUUCCCAGUCUACUGAUUCUUUCCUCUGUCGCUUCCGGAGACGACGGUGUGACACUGUUCAAGCCUUGGCGGUGCCGUUUAGACGAUUUGUACGGUGAGCAAACGCAUAUUGCUUUGCCGUUGUUUUUUUCCCCGGCGCAGCCGGCACCAUUUAAUCCAUCAGAAAAACUUGUUUUCGUUUCGAUUUUUGAAAGAAUCUUUAUCCGUUUCGUUUGACAUGCUNNNNNNNNNNNNNNNNNNNNNNNNNNNNNNNNNNNNNNNNNNNNNNNNNNNNNNNNNNNNNNNNNNNNNNNNNNNNNNNNNNNNNNNNNNNNNNNNNNNNUAAAGGAGACGACGUUGAUGGAUUUGAAGGAGAAAGAGACGGAGACGGAGCGAACACGUCGGUGAGGAAGCAAUGGUUGUGGUCGGAAAAGAGAGACGGUGAGAAGCAAUUGUUGUUCUCAGACCUCAAAGAUGGUGUUGGUGGUGAAGAGAAAACUGAGGAAGAGAGAGAAGGAGAAAAUAGUCAUUACCCCAAAUUUACAAAUACCUAUAAACGUAAGUAUAGGUAAUGGUUCCUUUUUCCGAAGUUUUGGGCCAACAAAUGCCUAAAUUGAUAAUAUUCCCUUAAUUGUUUUGGUGAAUUACGGCUAUAAUCUGUAUAGAUGUCCUUUGCCCAUGUAUAGACUUCCUUUUUAGACACCCCACAUAACUAGACACUAGCUUGUCACUGUUAAUUUCUUUUGGAUUUUGCAAUAUCCAAAAAGGAUCCAACCUACUGAUGGGAUGUAAUAGGCCCAUCUAAAUAUAUAUAGCUUCAAAAUUAGACCAAAAAUAUAUAUAUAUAUAUAUAUAUAUAUAUAUAUAUAUUUUAUGGGGAUGUGCCUUUAAUCAAGUGGUGAAGUCCACUUGACUCCGCUUUUCUAACCAGUGUUCGACUCUACUAAGUCGCGUUACCUCGCGUAGUAAGGAUUGGCUAUGGAUCGGGCUUUGUCGAUCCAAAGAUGUAAAAAAAAAACAUAAAAAAUUUAAGUUAAAUACACAUAUUUAGAUAACUUAUUUUUUAUUUAAAAACAUCAUUUAUAUUUUGUCUUAAAAAAAUUCAACCAAUGAUAAAAAAACUUUCGUAAUAUAUAUAGUCACAAAUUGUCAAAUACAUUAAAAUAUCUAAAACAUCUAAUAUAAUGAAACAUAUGAAGUAUAUAAUAUUGUUAUAUUAUUAUACAUUUUUCUCUUGAGAAGUUUUUGGUUUUGGGAUUAAGUGUUUAAAAAUCAAGUAAAUUAGGAAGAUGUAAGGUGUACAUUGCCUAACUGGAUAACAUAAUUAGUGUAAAAAAUAUUUAUCUGAAAACAAAUUCUGCUGAGUUCCUCUACUUUGAAGUUUGUCUGAACCAAACAUAGUAAUUAGUAAAAGAAAGAAAAAAAUUAGGGAAAAUUAGAAAUAAAUGAUGUUUUAAUGGAUAAAUGUCCAUAUAUACUUUUAUAUAAAAAGUUUGGUGAAAUAGGUUUUUUAAAAAUCAAAACCCAAAUUUACCCUCAUAUUUUCGAAAAUAUAAUUAACAAAAUUUUAAAAAAAUUAUUUCCUAUUUUAUUUACAUAAUUCAGAUACCCUCAUUCUUUCGCCAGAUUGACCUGUCUUCACUAAUUUGGGUAUAACUCUUGAAUGCACCGUUAGAUUUUCUUCAAACCACUUGGAAAAUCAAGCUAACAUCUUCAUCUAGCAUGUGUCGAAAAUUCAGAAAGAUCUAACGGUUUGAAGUAUUCCAUCUGAGACCAAACGUAUGACACUUCUAAACGAAACUGCAUCUCCAAAAGUGUGUUUAUAACCCAAAACAGCUCGUUUUCCUCCAAAGCAACGUAAAACCUGUAAAGACUCGAUAAAAGACUAAGGGAAAAUUGGAAAAAAAGGAUAUCUACUUAAAAAUUUGUCCAUAUAUACCUUUUUGGUGAGAUUAUCAUUUUGGACGAAACUACCCCUACACCCUAUUUUAAACAUUUUUUUUUUAAAAUAAUCAGAAAAACAGGUAGAUAUACAAGAGUAGAGGUGAUUUGAAGUGAAAUUUUUUAGAUUUGGCUAAAAAAAAAGUUGAAUUUUUGAUAGAUAAAGUUUCAUCUAAUUUUGUUAGAACACGUUUUCUAGAGUUCUGCGAAACUCGGAAUGUGUAUUCUGCAUUUUUUUACAUCUUCAACAUAUUUUAGACUAGAUUUCUGUUCUGAAAAAUUUUAGAAGUCCAAAAAUCCUAUAUCUAAAAUAUUUAGAAUAUGCAUUUUACGUUUUGCUAUAUGUUCUAAAUAUUUUAGAAUAGCGGUUCUACUAAUUUUUAUAUCUUCUGCCAUCGUUAGAAAUUGUAAUCUUCGUUUAGAAUGUAAAUUCUACGAUAUUGUAGAUUUCAUUUUCUGAAAUUUUUAGAAUGCUCUAAAUAUAGAAAGUAAAUCUUUAAAAAAGGAAACUAAAUAUAUAUUGAGAUUACGUUUUAAAUGAAUAUUUAUUGUUUAGAUUACGAUUUACAAGAUGUAGAAGUCGUUGUCUACAUUUUUUAGACCAAAUUAAAACCUAAAAUGUUUUCUAAACCCUAAGCUAAGCCAUCGUUUGAUCUUUCUUCCUUCAAAUUGUGAUCAAAUUCUCAAAAAUCUUAUUUCUUCAAUAAGAUUGCUUGAUUGAAGAAAGUGAGAUAGUAUUUAUUAUACAUGUGUAGCAAUGUUUGUAUUGAUUGUAUAAUAUAAGAAAAACUGAUAGAAUCGAGAACAAAAAGAAAUGGUACUCCCUCUGUUUUCUAAAGAUUGAUUUUCUGAGCUUUUAUUUUGUUUUCAAAAGAUUGAUUUUUUAAAAUACAUUUAAUUGCUUUCUCUUUUUACGAAAAAGGUAAAUUAAUGACACGCAUGGAAAAAAUAAUUUAUACUAGUGCCAAAGCUUUUCUUUUUUUGGAUGCAAAACUUUUCAUUGAAUUAGAAAGAGAAAAAAAGAAUGUUGGUAGUGUUGAGAAACAAAAAAGAGUAGAUAAAUAGAUACUAAAAUUAAACAAUCAUUCUGUCUUAAUCUAUGUGCAAAAUUCAGAAAAUCAAUCUUUGGAAAACAGAAGGAGUAUAAUAGAUCAGUGAGAUGCUGGAGGAGAUUAGCUUUAAAAACUUACAGAAAUUUAAAGGCUCGCUGGAGAGAGAAGAGAAUGAAAACACACUCAUUAUUAAUUAACGUUUUCUCUUCUGUUAUGUUAAAGAAUUAAACUUUACUAAAAAAUGUAGUAUUGACUUAGUUAUUAAUAUUAGUGUUGGCUAUUACUAAUUAACGAGUUGGGACGUUGAGUAAUACAAAUCACAAAGCUUUUAACAUUUGCAAUUAAAAUUUGAGUGAAACGACGUUAUUAUUAGAAUAUAUAAUCAAGAAAUUCUUAACUUUCUUUCUAGCCUAAACAUCAAUUAUCCCAUCUAAAAAAAAAGAUAAGUUGUUUGAUUAUAAUGAUGACUGUAAAAUAGAUGUCGUUUGAUUAUAAUGAUGACAAUUAAAAAACCAUACAAACACAAAACAAAAUUAUAUAAAUAGAUGUCGCUAAGCUCAAUUAGGAAGUUUUAUUUUUUAAUUAAUUUUGAGAGCAAAUGAGGGUAAACUUGGGUUUUGAAAUUUAUAAAACAUAUUUGACCAAUCUACAAAAUUAAGGUAUAUAUGGACAAAUUUUUAAGUAGAUAUCCUUUUUUUCCAAUUUUCCCAAAGACUAAAAUACUCUAAAAACACACUUUGACUCUAUAAAACAUAUGAUGUAGGAAAAAAAACAAAGACUCAAAACCGAUAAAAACACAACAUAUCAACUUCCCUCAUCGAUAAACAAUAAACUAAAUGAAAAUUCCUACUUGGUAGGUUGAGACUAUGGUUCUUACGUUUCUUUUUAAAUUAUGUUAAAUUGGUCUUGGAACUUAUGUUGUAUAUACUUAAUUUAGUGAUAAGUCAAUCCGAAACUCAAAGCAAAACCACGAACAUAAGAGUAGUAGGGAUUCCAAUUAUGAGAACAAAAAUUCAAACAUAGAGUACUAGGAAAUUCAAAUCUGAAAUAAAAAAUGCGAAAAUAAUCAUGAAAUGAGAAAGAAGUUCAAAAUCCAUAUAGUGGUAACUAGAAACGUUCAAUGAGAGCAGUUGCAACAUAAUCCUGAAAAAGAUAAAGAAAACAAUUAUCAAAACAAAAUAUAAAAGUAGGGAAUCUAUACUUAAGUUUUAAACUAGUAGUCAGAUCACGAUCACAAACCUUUUAUUGCUACAUCACAUGUUACUCGAUUAUGACCUUCUUUACCACAACGGCCGCACUUAUGCUUUUUUGAUAAUUGUUACUGUUGUGAUGCUUUUAUCUUGUCUUCAGCUGAUUCAUAUCUUCGUUUUCUUCAUCUACCAAGUUGUCUUCUUGUUUCAGGUGGUAAAACUUUUGCAGUUUCAACAACCUCUGGGACGCGCCAUUCAUCUUCAGGAACACCUAUUGGAUUAAUAGUUUUCUCAUAUAAUGAUCUCCAAGUGGCAGCUGUAUACAUAUCAUCAGCAUAUGGGUAUAUACCAAAUGACAAAACGUGGCACAGAACGGGGGAAAACAAUGACAAAUCUACCAAAUUAGUCUAACCUUUCAACGUGGACUUAAAAGGAAGAGGUGAAAGAAGAAGACUUUGACGAUUAGGGCUAAAAAACGAUUUCACCCUCUAGAUUUUCGUUUUUAAUUUUUUUUUUCAUCUGAAAAUAUUAGAAUACGUAUUCUAACCAUCCUCAUAUCGUAAUCUAAACAAUAAAAACGUAA
rnacentral:lncRNA from 1 species